rnacentral:lncRNA from 1 species
UUUGGUAAAUAGUAACAACAAUAAGAUUGAUAUACAAACAACAUGUUCAUACAAUGUUAUAUAUUCCCUGCUUAGUUAGUAAACGACGAGUACAGCAAGGUAAAGUGUAUUUGUGAAACAUUAUUUUCAAAUGUUGCUAUGUCAAAAAAAUAAUUGAUAACCAAUUUUAAUAUGUUUUCCUAUUGGCUGUAUUCCUCUCUGGUACUCACUAGAUAAUCGUUUCUAUGUUAAACUAGAUCAGAGUAGUUCAGGAAAAAUAUUCCGAUUGAAUAGAUUUAAAUGCAGCAAAGAUUAACACUUUUGAAAAGAAAUGAUCCAAAUGGAUCCCGAUGUAAACAGUGAAUGCAAAAGAAAAAAAGAAAAAAAAAAACGAGACAAAUUUUUGAAAUCGAAAAG